GCUAGUAAUCGCGGAUCAGCAUGCCGCGGUGAAUACGUUCCCGGGCCUUGUACACACCGCCCGUCACACCAUGAGAGUUGGCAAUACCCAACGUACGUGAUCUAACCCGCAAGGGAGGAAGCGUCCUAAGGUAGGGUCAGCGAUUGGGGUGAAGUCGUAACAAGGUAUC
rnacentral:rRNA from 1 species